CGAAGGGGGCUAGCGUUGUUCGGAAUUACUGGGCGUAAAGCGUGCGCAGGCGGUCUUCCAAGUCAGUGGUGAAAGCCCGGAGCUCAACUCCGGAAUUGCCAUUGAAACUGUGAGACUUGAGGACGAGAGAGGUGAGUGGAAUUCCCAGUGUAGAGGUGAAAUUCGUAGAUAUUGGGAAGAACACCGGUGGCGAAGGCGGCUCACUGGCUCGUUUCUGACGCUCAGGCACGAUAGCGUGGGGAUCAAACAGGAUUAGAUACCCUGGUAGUCCACGCCGUAAACGAUGAUUGCUAGCCGUUGGGCAGCUUGCUGUUCAGUGGCGCAGCUAACGCAUUAAGCAAUCCGCCUGGGGAGUACGGCCGCAAGGUUG
rnacentral:rRNA from 1 species